rnacentral:lncRNA from 1 species
AGGCAUUGAGGCAGCCAGCGCAGGGGCUUCUGCUGAGGGGGCAGGCGGAGCUUGAGGAAACCGCAGAUAAGUUUUUUUCUCUUUGAAAGAUAGAGAUUAAUACAACUACUUAAAAAAUAUAGUCAAUAGGUUACUAAGAUAUUGCUUAGCGUUAAGUUUUUAACGUAAUUUUAAUAGCUUAAGAUUUUAAGAGAAAAUAUGAAGACUUAGAAGAGUAGCAUGAGGAAGGAAAAGAUAAAAGGUUUCUAAAACAUGACGGAGGUUGAGAUGAAGCUUCUUCAUGGAGUAAAAAAUGUAUUUAAAAGAAAAUUGAGAGAAAGGACUACAGAGCCCCGAAUUAAUACCAAUAGAAGGGCAAUGCUUUUAGAUUAAAAUGAAGGUGACUUAAACAGCUUAAAGUUUAGUUUAAAAGUUGUAGGUGAUUAAAAUAAUUUGAAGGCGAUCUUUUAAAAAGAGAUUAAACCGAAGGUGAUUAAAAGACCUUGAAAUCCAUGACGCAGGGAGAAUUGCGUCAUUUAAAGCCUAGUUAACGCAUUUACUAAACGCAGACGAAAAUGGAAAGAUUAAUUGGGAGUGGUAGGAUGAAACAAUUUGGAGAAGAUAGAAGUUUGAAGUGGAAAACUGGAAGACAGAAGUACGGGAAGGCGAAGAAAAGAAUAGAGAAGAUAGGGAAAUUAGAAGAUAAAAACAUACUUUUAGAAGAAAAAAGAUAAAUUUAAACCUGAAAAGUAGGAAGCAGAAGAAAAAAGACAAGCUAGGAAACAAAAAGCUAAGGGCAAAAUGUACAAACUUAGAAGAAAAUUGGAAGAUAGAAACAAGAUAGAAAAUGAAAAUAUUGUCAAGAGUUUCAGAUAGAAAAUGAAAAACAAGCUAAGACAAGUAUUGGAGAAGUAUAGAAGAUAGAAAAAUAUAAAGCCAAAAAUUGGAUAAAAUAGCACUGAAAAAAUGAGGAAAUUAUUGGUAACCAAUUUAUUUUAAAAGCCCAUCAAUUUAAUUUCUGGUGGUGCAGAAGUUAGAAGGUAAAGCUUGAGAAGAUGAGGGUGUUUACGUAGACCAGAACCAAUUUAGAAGAAUACUUGAAGCUAGAAGGGGAAGUUGGUUAAAAAUCACAUCAAAAAGCUACUAAAAGGACUGGUGUAAUUUAAAAAAAACUAAGGCAGAAGGCUUUUGGAAGAGUUAGAAGAAUUUGGAAGGCCUUAAAUAUAGUAGCUUAGUUUGAAAAAUGUGAAGGACUUUCGUAACGGAAGUAAUUCAAGAUCAAGAGUAAUUACCAACUUAAUGUUUUUGCAUUGGACUUUGAGUUAAGAUUAUUUUUUAAAUCCUGAGGACUAGCAUUAAUUGACAGCUGACCCAGGUGCUACACAGAAGUGGAUUCAGUGAAUCUAGGAAGACAGCAGCAGACAGGAUUCCAGGAACCAGUGUUUGAUGAAGCUAGGACUGAGGAGCAAGCGAGCAAGCAGCAGUUCGUGGUGAAGAUAGGAAAAGAGUCCAGGAGCCAGUGCGAUUUGGUGAAGGAAGCUAGGAAGAAGGAAGGAGCGCUAACGAUUUGGUGGUGAAGCUAGGAAAAAGGAUUCCAGGAAGGAGCGAGUGCAAUUUGGUGAUGAAGGUAGCAGGCGGCUUGGCUUGGCAACCACACGGAGGAGGCGAGCAGGCGUUGUGCGUAGAGGAUCCUAGACCAGCAUGCCAGUGUGCCAAGGCCACAGGGAAAGCGAGUGGUUGGUAAAAAUCCGUGAGGUCGGCAAUAUGUUGUUUUUCUGGAACUUACUUAUGAUAACAUCUUCUGAGUCAUAACCAGCCUGGCAGUAUGAUGGCCUAGAUGCAGAGAAAACAGCUCCUUGACAGGUAUCUCUUCGUUAUCAGAAGAGUUGCUUCAUUUCAUCUGGGAGCAGAAAACAGCAGGCAGCUGUUAACAGAUAAGUUUAACUUGCAUCUGCAGUAUUGCAUGUUAGGGAUAAGUGCUUAUUUUUAAGAGCUGUGGAGUUCUUAAAUAUCAACCAUGGCACUUUCUCCUGACCCCUUCCCUAGGGGAUUUCAGGAUUGAGAAAUUUUUCCAUCGAGCCUUUUUAAAAUUGUAGGACUUGUUCCUGUGGGCUUCAGUGAUGGGAUAGUACACUUCACUCAGAGGCAUUUGCAUCUUUAAAUAAUUUCUUAAAAGCCUCUAAAGUGAUCAGUGCCUUGAUGCCAACUAAGGAAAUUUGUUUAGCAUUGAAUCUCUGAAGGCUCUAUGAAAGGAAUAGCAUGAUGUGCUGUUAGAAUCAGAUGUUACUGCUAAAAUUUACAUGUUGUGAUGUAAAUUGUGUAGAAAACCAUUAAAUCAUUCAAAAUAAUAAACUAUUUUUAUUAGAGAAUGUA